UACGUAGGGUGCGAGCGUUAAUCGGAAUUACUGGGCGUAAAGCGUGCGCAGGCGGUUCGUUGUGUCGGCGGUGAAAGCCCGGGGCUCAACCUGGGAAUGGCCGUUGAAACUGGCGAACUGGAGUGUGGCAGAGGGGGGUGGAAUUCCGCGUGUAGCAGUGAAAUGCGUAGAGAUGCGGAGGAACACCGAUGGCGAAGGCAGCCCCCUGGGCUGACACUGACGCUCAGGCACGAAAGCGUGGGGAGCAAACAGG
rnacentral:rRNA from 1 species